rnacentral:precursor_RNA from 8 species
UCUACGCUUUGCCAUUUUGUGAUAGUCGUCUAAUCUCAACUGGUAAAAUUGAGCUCUGCUGCCUGUCGCUCCAAAGGCUCAAGUUACUUGUUGGGAUUAUGCGAAGUCUCAUAACUAACCCAUCCGCUGCA